UGCNAGUCGUACGAGAGUUUUUAACUCAAGUGGCGGACGGGUGAGUAACACGUAAGAAUUUGCCUUUAGGAGGGGGACAACAAUUAGAAAUGAUUGCUAAUACCCCAUAUGCUUUCGAGUGAAAUGGAUUUUUCCGCCUAGAGAGAAGCUUGCGGCUGAUUAGCUUGUUGGUGAGGUAAUGGCUCACCAAGGCGACGAUCAGUAUCUGGUUUGAGAGGACGAUCAGACACACUGGAACUGAGACACGGUCCAGACUCCUACGGGAGGCAGCAGUGGGGAAUUUUCCGCAAUGGGCGAAAGCCUGACGGAGCAAUACCGCGUGAGGGAUGACGGCCUAUGGGUUGUAAACCUCUUUUUUCAGGGAGGAAUCAAUGACGUGUACCUGAAGAAUAAGCAUCGGCUAACUCCGUGCCAGCAGCCGCGGUAAGACGGAGGAUGCAAGUGUUAUCCGGAAUCACUGGGCGUAAAGCGUCUGUAGGUGGUCCAAUAAGUCAACUGUUAAAUCUUGAGGCUCAACCUCAAAAUCGCAGUCGAAACUAUUAGGCUAGAGUAUAGUAGGGGUAAAGGGAAUUUCCAGUGGAGCGGUGAAAUGCGUAGAGAUUAGAAAGAACACCGAUGGCGAANGCACUUUACUGGGCUAUUACUAACACUCAGAGACGAAAGCUAGGGUAGCAAAUGGGAUUAGAUACCCCAGUAGUCCUAGCCGUAAACAAUGGAUACUAGAUGUUGACCAGAUCGACCUGUGCAGUAUCAAAGCUAACGCGUUAAGUAUCCCGCCUGGGAAGUAUGCUCGCAAGANUGAAACUCAAAGGAAUUGANNNGGGCCCGCACAAGCGGUGGANCAUGUGGUUUAAUUCGAUGCNNCGCNAANANCCUUANC
rnacentral:rRNA from 1 species